UGGGGAAUAUUGGACAAUGGGCGCAAGCCUGAUCCAGCCAUGCCGCGUGAGUGAUGAAGGCCCUAGGGUUGUAAAGCUCUUUCACCGGUGAAGAUAAUGACGGUAACCGGAGAAGAAGCCCCGGCUAACUUCGUGCCAGCAGCCGCGGUAAUACGAAGGGGGCUAGCGUUGUUCGGAUUUACUGGGCGUAAAGCGCACGUAGGCGGACUAUUAAGUCAGGGGUGAAAUCCCGGGGCUCAACCCCGGAACUGCCUUUGAUACUGGUAGUCUUGAGUUCGAGAGAGGUGAGUGGAAUUCCGAGUGUAGAGGUGAAAUUCGUAGAUAUUCGGAGGAAAACCAGUGGCGAAGGCGGCUCACUGGCUCGAUACUGACGCUGGGGUGCGAAAGCGGGGGGAGCAAACAGG
rnacentral:rRNA from 1 species